rnacentral:tRNA from 1 species
GCGGGAGUGGCGAAAUUGGUAGACGCACAAGAUUUAGGUUCUUGCGCCUUAGGUGUAAGGGUUCGAGUCCCUUCUCCCGCACCA